UGUUAUUCAAUGUUUCUACGUCAAUGUAUUUGUCAUCAAUGUAACUAGAAAGACCUAUUUCAACUGUGUUUCAAAUAAAUCAAUAAAUCAAAUAAACAGAAAUGCAUCAUUUUCACAAAUUAGUUCGCGGUUGGCAGUUGAGAAAGGCUGUGGCGUAAACGUUCAAAGCCCAAAAGUGCGCCAAAGCCUAAGAGAUCCACCAAUCAGAGAAGUCGCCGUUACUAUGGAAACGAGAAUUAGCGCAAGCCCUUUUGUGAUGAGUUGCUGCCAACUAGCAGAGAUUCAAGAAAAACAAAAAUGGAGCCUCCCAAAAAGAGGGGACGGUACAAAAAAUAUCUUGAAGAUUCAGCUACCUGUCCCCAGACAGACAAGACAACUGGAAUGUUAAACAAGGAUUAACAUGGGGUUCUGGAAAUAAGGAUGAUUUGAUGGAAGAAAAUGAAGUAAGGCGAGGGAAUCUGGAAUGUGACAGCUGCAAUGAAGGCUUUUAUAAUGAGAAUAGGGAAGAGGAAGAGACUGGAGAUGGCUCAACUGAGGAUGACUAUGAGGCUGCGGAGCUGAUUGUGGAAGACAUGGAAAUGGCAUUUGAGAGGGAACUAUGAGGUAUAUUUAAGUUGAGAGAGGGGGUGCUAUCAGAAAAAAAGUGUAAAAAG